rnacentral:rRNA from 1 species
AUUGAACGCUAGCGGGAUGCCUUACACAUGCAAGUCGAACGGAGUGGCGAACGGGUGAGUAAUGUAUAGGAACGUGCCCAGUCGCGGGGGAUAACUACGCGAAAGCGUAGCUAAUACCAAAUACUCUUGGAGCGGCAUAUAUCGGAAUAGCUAGUGGGGGGGGUAACGGCUCACCAAGGCGACGAUCCGUAGCUGGUUUGGGAGGACGACCAGCCACACUGGUACUGAGACACGGCCCAGACUCCUACGGGAGGCAGCAGUGGGGAAUUUUGGACAAUGGGGGAAACCCUGAUGCAGCCAUCCCGCGUGUGCGAUGAAGGCCUUCGGGUUGUAAAGCACUUUUGGCAGGAAAGCGGUACCUGCAGAAUAAGCACCGGCUAACUACGUGCCAGCAGCCGCGGUAAUUC